GUACACUCCUGCGGGAGGCAGCAGUGGGGAAUUUUGGACAAUGGGGGCAACCCUGAUCCAGCAAUGCCGCGUGAGUGAAGAAGGCCUUCGGGUUGUAAAGCUCUUUUGUCAGGGAAGAAACGGUGGUGGCGAAUAACUACUACUAAUGACGGUACCUGAAGAAUAAGCACCGGCUAACUACGUGCCAGCAGCCGCGGUAAUACGUAGGGUGCAAGCGUUAAUCGGAAUUACUGGGCGUAAAGCGUGCGCAGGCGGUUGUGUAAGUCAGAUGUGAAAUCCCCGGGCUCAACCUGGGAAUUGCAUUUGAGACUGCACGGCUAGAGUGUGUCAGAGGGGGGUAGAAUUCCACGUGUAGCAGUGAAAUGCGUAGAUAUGUGGAGGAAUACCGAUGGCGAAGGCAGCCCCCUGGGAUAACACUGACGCUCAUGCACGAAAGCGUGGGGAGCAAACAGGAUUAGAUACCCCUGUAGUCCC
rnacentral:rRNA from 1 species